UCCGGUUUAACACCGGCAGUCCCUUCAGAGUGGUCAUCUUACUGGUACCAACUAAAGGCAAGGGUUGCGCUCGUUGCGGGACUUAACCCAACAUUUCACAACACGAGCUGACGACAGCCAUGCAGCACCUGUCUCUACGCCCCCGAAAGGGAAACUACAUCUCUGCAGUCGUCGUAGGAUGUCAAACCCAGGUAAGGUUCUGCGCGUUGCUUCGAAUUAAACCACAUACUCCACCGCUUGUGCGGGCCCCCGUCAAUUCCUUUGAGUUUUAGUCUUGCGACCGUACUCCCCAGGCGGGAUACUUAAUGCGUGAGCUUUGGUACUCAGAGGGUUAAUUCUCCAAACACCUAGUAUCCAUCGUUUACGGUGCGGACUAC
rnacentral:misc_RNA from 1 species